UACAGAGGUCUCAAGCGUUGUUCGGAUUCAUUGGGCGUAAAGGGUGCGUAGGCGGCGCGGUAAGUCGGGUGUGAAAUUUCGAGGCUUAACUUCGAAACUGCAUUCGAUACUGCCGUGCUAGAGGACUGGAGAGGAGACUGGAAUUCCCGGUGUAGCGGUGAAAUGCGCAGAUAUCGGGAGGAACACCUAUGGCGAAGGCAGCUCGCUGGGACGUUACUGACGCUGAGACGCGAAAGCGUGGGGAGCAAACAGG
rnacentral:rRNA from 1 species